AGAUAGAAGCCGUUUAGUUUUAAUUAAAUAUUGUACAUAGUAGGUAAUAUCCAGAAAUGUGUAGGUAAGGUCCAGAAAUGUAAGAACAUUUCUGGAAUUUGUUUUGCUUGCGUCUUAUUAGGGUGUGUAAUUCGAAAACUGUACAAUAUGUUCAAAAAUUGUUUCGUUCCAACAUGCAAAAAUAUUACGGAAAAUAAUCCGAAUAAAAGAAGACAUGCGAGAAAGAUGGUUUCACGAAGUAAACACAGAGUAUUUUAAGGCUUACACAAUGUAUUGAUGUGAAGAUCACUUCGAUCCACAGAGAGAUUUUAAAAACUACUAUGUGUAAAUUGAUGAACGAUGAGCCGAUGUUUAAGUGUUGCAUGGUGCAAGCCAAAACAAAGAUCUAGUUCGACUGACGCUUCAUAGGUUAGUAAAUUAUUUUCUUUAAAAAAGCGAUUGAAAUCAUUCCAAUUCAAAAGUAAAACUA